rnacentral:tRNA from 2 species
CGGGAUGUGGCUCAGUUUGGCUAGAGCGCAGCGUUCGGGACGCUGAGGCCGUGCGUUCAAAUCGCACCAUCCCGACCA